rnacentral:lncRNA from 1 species
CUCUCUCCAUACGGUUUCUCCUCUCCAACUUGCUCUCUCCCACCGUGUCUUCCUUCUUCAUCUCUUCUGUUAGCCUUCCUUCUUCCUGUAAGCCUUCCUUCUUCCUCUCUCACAUAUUCCAUAUCUCACCCUAUUUCCAAUAUUAGUUUAGUAAUUUCUUUGUUCGAGUUCUUAGUUUUUUCGUUCCAAUUAUUCCAGAUCUUGACCCUUUUGAGAAUCAAACCUUUUUCGUUCCAAUUUUUUCCAGAUCUUGAUACUUUUGCGAAUCAAAACCCUUUUCCUUCAAAUUUUGUUGUUCCCACUGUUUGUUUGAGUUUUGGGUUAUGGAAUCUUCAAAACUCACAACAUUUACUAUAUUUUUUGGAAAUACGGUGCUAAGAUUUGGAAAUACAGCUCUACCCACUUUUUGUUUUUUUUUCGUUCAAACUAAUAUUGGAAAUUGCUAAACUAAGAUUGGAAAUACUGCUAAACUUACUGGUUGAGGUCAUUGACUGCUUGGUUGAAGAGAAACAUAUGGCAAGACAGUAUGCAGCGAUGAAGACGUUUGCGUUUGUUUUGCAUUUUUUUUUUUGUCGAACCUCUAAAUAAUGGAAUCUUUCAUAUUUCAUAUCAUGUGAGCACCCAAACACGUGAUAGGACCUAUCCUAUCACUAUCAUAUCCUAUUAUAGGCUCUUAUUUCUUGCUGCAAGGACCAAAGUCCCUAAUGAUAAGAUGUUUUCAAUUGCAUUGGUUGUUGAUGAAGGUAUAAUGAGGAAUAACAAUGCAAACAGAAUGUAUCAUAAAUAACCAAGUUGCUUGAGUUUUGUGGCAAAGAGCUCAUUCCAAGGACGUAUCUAGGGAAUAUCGAGUUCGAUUUCCAGGAAAAAUAACGUUUGGUCAGUGCGCAUGCCUCUACGCACGAGUCAGAUAAAUCGUCCACAUUUAAUGGUGGAUCAGAAACCAGUGCAAAAGCAAAAAAGAAUGUAUCAUAAAUGAUCAUUUUGAGAAAAAUAAACUUAAAAAACCAAUCCAAAACAAAUGUCAAAUUUAAAAAAUUUGAAGACAUGAUUUACGUUGUGUUUGGAUCGGCACAAUUAGAAUCCUCCAAACGUACAAAAUCGAAACUCUCAUGUAAUCAUGUUUCGAGCUUUUGUGUUUCACGGUAAAAAUGAC